GUGACCUUGGUGCAGAUGCGACGGUGCGUUCAGAGGCAGCUCCUAGGGCCAGAGUCACGCUCGGCUCAGCCGGGUAUCUGAGCAGCAGAGUUCAGCGCCACCCCACUCACUGAGCCACGUAUUACGAGAAGACAGCUGGCUGGCUGGUUCCCAGAGGCUUUGAAACGCAGAGGAGUGAUCUUGACACGCUCUUGAAGUUUGUCACUUUGGGCAGGUGUGCCGAGAGCCGAUGCCCAAGGCAACGUGGAGGGAAGCGUAUCAGGACGUGUGGGCGACAGCCCGUGCACCUCACCUUCCAAUUGCCCAGAGACACAGAAGUAGCUGUUGCGCACUUUAACUUCUCCACGUGAGCUCUGUGGGGGACAGGCAGCUCCUCUAUCCUGCUGUGCUUUGGUUUUCUUUCUGCUAAUCCUCUAUUUCAGGUAAAUAUAAUGAAGAUAAUAACAUAUUGCAAAUGAGACACCAAUUCAGAACAUUUCGUGGUAUUUCCUUUGGAAGUAUUGGCUCAACAGAGACUAUAAUUACUGGAAAGCAGAAAUGUAAAGCUGUCACACAAACUGAAGUGUUUCCACCAUUUCUCGGAGGCAUUUAAUCAAUUCAGCCAAAGCAAUCAACAAAACAGUGUGUUGUUCUACAUUCCAAAUUGCCUAACAACUGACGACUGACUGGGUUUCUUCCGAUCUAAUUGACUGGAUGUCACACGGCUGUGGUGACACAGACCAGCACGCCCAGAGGCUCUUAAGGGGGAAGAAGCGUUUCAAAGCCUGGAUCCUAAAGAAGGCUGAUAAAAGCCGGGCAAGACAGAACUUGGAGAUUACCUCAAGGAGGACUCCAGAUUUAAAACCUGCUAAAGGAAGACACCCAAUUACGUCAAGCUGCCUGCGCCCAGCUGCUAUGAGAACAAUUCAGUUCUGAAGGAGAGAGGGCAUGAAGUUGGGGCUGUCGGCAUGGCAACUGCAGAUGACGUCUUAUCCCUUCAUAUCCCAUAAUAAGUGGGUGCCAUCCAGCCUCUCCUUGAGCUCCUCUGACUCAAAUUCAUGCAUUGUUAAAAACUCAUUAAAACGCACUGAAUCAGAGCACUGCAGACAACAAAAAUAGAGGCAGUUUUGGACGCCAAGCCAAAUAAUUUUGGCUUUUCUUCCCAAUGUGCAUGUAAACACACUGUCAGACACCCAUGCGUGCAGAUGGAAACUAUUCACAAAGGGGCUGAUGCCUGAGGUUCUCAGAGCAGUCACGACAGCGGAGAGUUGACUCACCAACGUGUCGUCUGCGGGGGCUCGUGUCACCUCAGCCGACACUCCACUUCACGUCGUCCACCGCCAGACAUGGAACUCUGUGUAAAUUACAGUCAUUCAACCUGGGGCUUUCCAAGCAGAAAUCUUAAGCCUUUCCCAUGUCCUGCCUCUUCUUUCUCCAUGAGAAAAGGAGAGAAAGACGUAGAAUAAUUGUCCAGAAAGCUUGGAGGUGAGAUCUUAGACAACGACCAUCAGAGCAGCAGUCGCAUCUGCUAACUCGGGGUGUGGAGCACCCGAUAGCAGUAGAAACAUAAGUGGAUUCUGAAUGUGCUGAAGAAAUACGUGCCAUCAGAGAGGGACUAUAGACGCUACUUAACCCCUGAAGGAAAUCAGAAAAUCAAAGUUUUAGUUGUGGCAGAGCCAGCUAGAUGCCCCCGAUCUCCAUCCUCCCAUCUUCUACGGUCACAGGAUUGCAGCAGGCACGUGGCCUGCCAGUUCGUCUACAAGUCCCAGAGUCCCUCUAAGCCAAGUGUGACCCACGACAAACAUGAUAGAAGGGGUGCGGGCAGAAGUGCUACGUGCCUCUUCCAGGCUGUCCCCGAAAGGAAGGGGCACACCCUCCACUCCUCCCCGCCUCCACGGGCUGAAACCUGGGUGAGGACAGAGGCACAAGUGAGGGCAGCACCGCAGUGACCAGGACCAGUAAGACAGAAUCCUGGGUCCUGAGGCUGCGACUGCUCACGUAUAAUUAGAGAAAUAAACUGCCCUGUUCAAGUCAUCGCGUUUAGAUUAUCUGUCAUAUAAAUUGCAUGUGGAUUCUAUUAACGCAAGAUCCAGUGGGAGAAACGCCAAGAAGACGCCACAAUUCCAGUGAAGGGUAAAGGAGACACUCAUCCUCUGGGGUACCCAAGGGCCAAGUAGUGAGGAAGCCUCCAGUCUUUGAGAUUCUCUGGGCUUGUUCUGUUGUUGAGCUGCCUGAAGGAGCACCCUAGCCUUCUUGUCACCCACUCUAGUCUUGAUCACGCCCUCCCUCAGGGGCACUUGACUGGACUUCCUCCUUGUGCAGCCCCUAUUAUGAUGUCAUCUCCUCAGCCUCAACCACUUCUGCCAGAAAAGACUACACAAGUUCCCCAAAUAUCUAUAGAGUCAGAUAAGGGGAGGCUGACAUGAGCUGAGCAGCUGCUGGGGCAGGCAGCGAGGGGAUGGAGAUGCAAAGAUGGUACCCUGACGCCCCUCUCACGUCUCCUUAGAACUGGGAGUCUUCCGAAGUUGUGACAGAGUAACACUCACCAAAUCCAGUGCCGAGGCAAAUUUUCCUGGGAUAUUGGAGCUUGUAAUUUGAAGAACUGGUCUUGUUAUCCGUUCAUACAAUAAAUACGUCCUAAGUGUCACCUGUACGUAAGGUAUUGUGUUAGGUACUGAGGAUGCCAAGAGGGAUAAAAUGUGUCCCCUUCCUUUGAUGCAUUUACAUCUAGUGGAGAGAAAAAUAUUCAAG
ensembl:lncRNA